rnacentral:lncRNA from 1 species
AUGACUUUCUAGAGUAUCUAAUUGAGGUGCUUAUCAUAUUUAAUAUGUGGCUAGAUCAGAUUAGUUAUCCUUGUCACUAUUAUUAUUUCAUAUAUCUUUUAUGUGACACUUAUCCCUGUAUGAUGAGUUAGAUAUAAUGUUCUCAAUUAUACAUGCAAUGAUAGAUGCUCAAUCUCAUAUUCUAUUCUGUAAUCAAUUGUGAUGAUUUCUAAUCCCUUCCCAGUGGUAAAAAUAUAAAUAACGAUACCUGGAAUACUUCUCGGUUAAAAUGCUGCAUCGGUAUUAAUCUGUGCGCUUGCAGAUCCCAUUCAUUAUUUAUUUAGAAGAGCAAUUGCAUAUUUCAAUACCGCGUCUCUUAUAUCAUGCUGGGGAUGACAACUUGGCUUAAGUGGUGUGAGGGAUAGGUUUGGCAUUUUUGGCACCGUUACUAGAUUUAGAGAACUUAGUUUACUUUUGGUAAUGAUGUUAAGAAUACCCAACACUUACCAGCAAGGGAAAGCAUACCUAGAAGAUGUAGAACCACGAUGGUAGGAAUGCAAACCUUUGCUAUCAAGAAGAAUCUGUGGAGCUUGGAAGGCACACAAAGAGACAAAUAUAUAUAUAUAUGGAACACAAAUCAGAAAUAGAUAGUAAUACUAAAUUAUAGUCCCUAGUGUUUACUCGUAUUGCCAGCCUUAUAUGUUCCAAGUACCAGGUGUGUGAUGAUCAACAAGGUGGAGAAACAAGUAUGAUGGAUAGCAAGAGCAAUAGAAACAAGGCACAAAACAACACACACUAACACAACUCACUUUGCUCUUCUCUAUGUGCUCCUCUAGAUAUUAUUCCUAUAUUGCUCCUCUCUUUUUUUCUUUUUUUGGCCACUGUUGUUUCUUUAUGAAAUUUUGAAUUUUUAUUUUUAUUUUUUUGAUAUUUUUAUUUUACUUAGGAGCACUAAGGAAGUAAACACAAAAAAUUUGAACUUAAACAAGUGAAAAACGUGGCCUCUGGAAUUUUCUGAAGAUUAUGAAAAAUAUGAAAAAAAAUCAGAAGGUGAAAAGUCAAACUUCAGAGACAAAUUUGGGGAAUCUAAAAUUAUCGAAGCCACCUAAAGCAGGAAUAGACGGAUCCAAAAAACUUUAUGAUCAAUUUUGAUAUAUGGAACAUCAAAAUCAGAGUUUGUGUGCGAAUGUUAUGGCUAUUUUACGAACGGACUCUGAAUUAGAGGACAAAACAGUCUGGAAGUGGGAAAAAUUUGCAGCGGUGGCUAGAAAUUGAUAGAGACGGUGAGGAAAAACACAAGAACUGGACUCUAACAUGACCUAACCACCAACAAGACCUCGACCAGGACACAAACUCCACAUACGGGCUCUAAAACUAAAAUAUGCAAAGGCUAUGGUACGGAAGGGUUGUAGGACAGGAAAAUGAUAUGGUACUGGACUUAUGGGACGAACACGAAAACACUUGAAACAAAGGGUAGAUGUGAAUCUGCUAGUAUACCUGAAACUUUGGUUACCACUUGAUGUGAACAAGGGUGACCCAACUGUGGGGGUAUAAACCCUUAUACCCUUAUGGCU